GCGAUCCUCUCCCAGGGCCAGGCCACCGUUCCUUUCUUUACUAAUCUGUGCAGAUAGGAAGACACAGAGAGGAGGAGAGAUUUGAAAAGGACCUGAACAACUUGCUGCCAUUGACGGAACCAGGAACUCUGCGCUCUACCUGAAUAUUCUUAAAGAAAUUGACCGACUGCCAGUUUGUAACAUGAAGUUCAGACUCACUUGGGUUGUGCAGCAGAGCAAUAGAGAUAGACCAGAGAAGCCAGUUUAAGUGGAGUUGAUGGAAGUCUUCAAAGUAGAUGGAAUUAAACUGACUGCAGGCCCUGGGCCACUAUUUUAGAGCCUAUAAUCCAGAUUAAAUCCUGCAUCGUUCAGUUCUUUUUUAACUUUCUAUUCUUUGGGAUAAAAUAUGAUAUUUCAAUUGGAUGUCAUCAUCCCGGGUAAAGCCAAAUGAUCUUAUUAUGAAUUGCCUUUUAAAAAUACUGAUUGCUUCAAUAGAUGUCAGGAUUGUAAUGUGAAGGGCGCCUUAUGUUGAGUUCUUGAGUUGUAUAAUCGUGCAGAAGACCCUGUUAGGGAUUCCUUGCAACACAGCAGCACACCAUACACAUUUUUUAUAUAGCACUUUAAAGAAACAUCAAAGCUGCCCAAAGUGUUGUGAGGCUUAACAUAAAAGACACCUCCAAGAGAACAUAAAGAGAGCAAACACAGAAUAUCUACAAAAGGUAAUGAGAAGAAUAUGAAGCAAGUAAAACCAAAAGAACAAAAGAUAAUAUAAAUAUUGGUCACUGGCAUUUUCUCAGAUUUUUUAGAAGCAGUGAGAGUAAAAGUGUGUUUUUAAUGGAGAUUUAAAUUCAACAAGUCAAUUCAUCUCUGAGUUUGCAUCUGCUAUGCUGACAUAGUAGGAAUGAGAUCAGAGUCUGCAAAAGGGCCCAACAUUGUUAGGGUAUUUAAAAGCAAACAAAAGACAGCAACAAUAAAGACAAGUGAAUUUGAAGUUAAUCUGAAGUGAUCAGCCUGAUGGCUCCAUAUUGGCACAUAUUUAUUUACUAAGACUAAUAGCUCAAAUCCACAAGAAACCAAACCUAUGUGUGCAAUCUUCCUGACACUCUGACCACCCCUUCAAAAAAAAAAAAAAAAAAAAGAAGAGAGAAAUAUAAGUACUUUAAAAAGAGAUUCACUCAUGCCCCUCGCUCUCUGCUUUUACGGUCAACUCAGUUCCAGAUAUUCACAUACAUGAGGUUGUAGUCUGUUAUCGUGUUGCGUUUCAUUUUUCUGCUGUCCCCAGUCGCUCCCCAUAGAUUCAGGAAACUCAGAAAACGCAGUUUGUUUUUCCAAUGCAUAGAUAACUGACUAUAACCUCAUGGUAUCUAUGCACCAAAAAUAAAAAAAAACAAACAAACAAAGGGUGUUUUCUGAGUUCCUUGCAACCAUAUGUGGCGAUUGGGGAGAGGACAGAAAACACACAUGAUAACUACAAGUACAAACACAUGUACUGUAUGGGAAACUGCAUAAAACUUUUGCUGCCAUGUUUUCUGAUCUGGAGUAUACAUACCUAUAUUAGGUAGAAAAAUAGAAAAAAUUAAGCAAGAACAGUUAUGUUGUUUGCUCACAUUAGCAUGCCUAACCAAAGUGAUGAAUAAAAAUCAUAAUGAAUUUUCCAAAUAUAAACAUAUGAGAAAUCACUACACAUAUUGGUCUGGGUCACAUAUUAAUAUGAGUCUCCAGGUGUCAGCUGCUCAGUCAGCUUCUCAAUCUUCCCAGUUUUGUUGCUCAUGCACACCCUCGUGUGUCCUGACAACAACAUUAUAUUCCUCCUCGUUAAUAUCCUGGUGUGUCUCUGAAAUAAAUCCUUGAAGUAU